rnacentral:rRNA from 2 species
UACGAAGGGGGCUAGCGUUGUUCGGAAUCACUGGGCGUAAAGCGCACGUAGGCGGACUUUUAAGUCAGGGGUGAAAUCCUGAGGCUCAACCUCAGAACUGCCUUUGAUACUGGGAGUCUUGAAUUCGAGAGAGGUAAGUGGAAUUGGUAGUGUAGAGGUGAAAUUCGUAGAUAUUACCAGGAACACCAGUGGCGAAGGCGGCUUACUGGCUCGAUAUUGACGCUGAGGUGCGAAAGCGUGGGGAUCAAACAGG